CGUCGGUCCCCUCGCGACGAUCAAUCGUGAACCCCGUCAGACCCGGAAGGGAGCAGCGGCAGCGGUGACAUCGGGCGCCGGGGUGCGGCUGGCGCGG
rnacentral:SRP_RNA from 1 species